GGUUUGUGGCUCAGUGGUGGUAGAGCUCUCACCUAGCAUGUGUGAGGCCCUGGGUUCGAGCCUCAGCACCA
rnacentral:tRNA from 1 species